GAAGCGCGAACCAAGCAGCCACGCAAGCGGCGUGAGACUUGGAGCGGACGAUCGCAAGACCGUCCUACA
ncrna:unclassified sequences Transposase-2 RNA